rnacentral:misc_RNA from 1 species
GGGGAAACUACUCAAGGACUAUGGUGAUGAAGAGUUAUUUAGGGGACCUGAUACACCCACAGGGCUGGUACAAAUGGGAUAACUACAGCACUUUAGAUACAGUGGAGUAUAUUGAGCACUUGAACUAUGGACCAGGCUCCAACACAAGGCAUAGAGUUACUUGGGGAGGCUAUAACAAGAACUGCAGUGAAGACAUAGCCAGGCAGUUCACAGUGGGCAAAUUCUUACACGAAGCAGAUCAUUGGUUAGAGUCCACAGGAUUUCCACUCUUUACUGGUUCAUAAUGAAUGUCAGAUUUAGCGAGACAGAAAUGCUA